CAGUGGGCAGGUCACCUCAGAGGCAGAUCUGCGCGCCUGCAGACACUGUAUCUCCAUUCGGGCUGCUCAUGUAAGAUGGCGGUAUCGUGUACUGUCGCGGUCUCAGGGUAGCAGGCAUUGGGGGCUGUGGAAUGAGGUAGUAGUUUGUAUAGUUUGGGAUCACACCAGAUCUGGGAGAUAACUAUACAGCCUACUGUCUUUCUCACAGCUGCUCCUUCACAUCAGACCCUCCAAUGAUGGACCUUCACACAGACAGGGCUUUUGUGAAGAGAUGAAAUUGUGCAUCUUUGUACUUUUCUGAGAGGGAAAAUUGUAGAGACAUGGUGAACUACAGUUUAAUAAAUAAAACAUUGAUGUCAGAAAUCAUA